CAGCCGCCGCGGGAACACGAAGGGUGCAAGCGUUAAUCGGAAUUACUGGGCGUAAAGCGUGCGUAGGCGGUUUGUUAAGUCUGCUGUGAAAUCCCCGGGCUCAACCUGGGAAUGGCAGUGGAUACUGGCAAGCUAGAGUGUGUCAGAGGAUGGUGGAAUUCCCGGUGUAGCGGUGAAAUGCGUAGAGAUCGGGAGGAACAUCAGUGGCGAAGGCGGCCAUCUGGGACAACACUGACGCUGAGGCACGAAAGCGUGGGGAGCGAACAGGAUUAGAUACCCGUGUAGUCCCUGUCUCUUAUAA
rnacentral:rRNA from 1 species